GGUAGCUUCUACUUCCAUAUGCUAGGUGUUAUGUCUAGUCCCCAGAGAAGAAAUAAAGAAAGUGAGAGAUGCAUCACCAACGCUCCGUUGCUCUAAUCACCAGCAGAAACACAGUUCCGAAGAAGACGAUUCAGCUGGUCUCGCUCCCAUUAACUCACUUCAUCGAACGAUUCUUUUUACCGUCUUUAACUCAUUACUUCUUUCUCAAUCGUCUAAUUUCUCCUUUUCAAGGUUUCUCUCAGUUUCUCUUCGAUAAGUUGGGGUGCAGUUAACUAUCGAAGCUUUUGACCCUUCAAGCAAGAAGGGUGAUGGCUAAGUUGGAAACUUACAUGAAACUCACAAAUGUUAUGGUUGUUGCGGGUGCUUUCCCAUUGGUGGUACCUUUUAUGAGGUUUGUUACGCCAAAGAUAGCUUGUUGUGCCUAAGGGCCAUCUAAUCGAAUAAGGCUUUUGCACAAAUGCAUCAGACCAUUGGCUUGACAGAGAUGUUCUUCAAAUGUGUUCUCAGAUCUGCACCAGCUUGUCCAAACUUCUCUCCACAACUACCUACAAAACUUUCUCCUGGAUAUGUGAGGCUGAAGAAGGAAAACCUUGGAUGGCCUACUUCUCGAAAGCGGAACAAAUUAGAUUCCACAGGGGCCAUUUGACUUUAGCAGUUUGGACGUGUUAAUGCUUGGUAACAAUGUCAUAUUCAGAUGGGCGAUUUGUUGCAAUUGCAUAUGGGGUCAGUUUCCUGAUGGUGAACCGCCUUUUCACUACUUGGUUGUUAUCGUCGUGCUUGUGAAGAAGGUAAAGGUACGAGGACAGACGUUUUUUUUCUGCGAUGGAUGCUGUUGUGAAGCAGGCAAAGAGAUUGACUGUAUCAUGUGGUGGAAACACUCAAUACAAUUUUGUCUGCGGAUGUUUUUUUAUGACCACAAGGGUGCUCAAUUUGGGUCUGCUCAGAUCAUUUUCCGGCUAUAUGCAUCUAGCUCAGAUGUUGAAGUAAAAGGAUCAAGUAAAUCGUUCUUAGCUGCAUCUUCAACAACAAUGAACCAGAAUGACCCUCUACUGGCAGAGAUACAAGGAUAAUGGCACCAGGUGGAGUUAGACCCCCUCGCAUAUCACAAGUAGCCUCUCAGUUGUCGCGCACUGAUAUGCCAAAGAUUCAUAAAGGAGGAAGAGGAGAUGCUCUUAAUGCAAAGCUUAAUGAUCACAUAAGGAAAACUGGUGUAAAGCCAACAAUAACGAUCAAACCAGGUCAAAAGAUUCCAACUGGGGAUUGGUCUACUGAGUUCCAAACUGAAAUAGGGAUCAUCGUCAGAAAAUUCGCACCGUGGUCGACUCGCCCAAAAUGGAAGUCAGUUGAAAAACCAGAUCUGAGGAAAUUUUAUGAUCUCAUAAUGGAAAAAUUUACUAUUGAUCUACACGUAGUACGCAUUCAGAAGGCGGUCAACAAAAUGCUAGCAAAUGAGUUCAGACAGUUUAGAUGUACACUUCACAAACAUUACCUGCACUAUAAAAAAGAUGGAACAGAACGGGAAAACCCACAUCAUCAGGUGAAGCAGGAGGACUGGGAGAAACUUUGCACUUGGUUUGAGUCUGAUGAGUUUCAGACAAGUAGCACUCAAGGUAAAAAAAGUCGAGAAGCAAAUACAACCAUUCAUUGCACGGGGUCAAAACCUUUCGCGCUAUAGAGAGGAAAUGUGUGAUCCAGAAACAGGUGAAGUUGUUGAACAAAUUGAAUUCUACAAGUUAACCCACUGCAAAAAUGAUGUUUGGACCUGUCAUACGGCUGAGGAGAACUAUGGUAAAAUGCUUGAACUCCGGGCUGCGCCUACACCCGAUGGUUCAACACCCUUGACCGAUGCUGAAAUAUGUGAGAAAGUCCUAGGUGUAAGAUCUGGUUAUGUCAAGGGUCUUGGUCAUGGGUAUGAAAAACCUAGCUCUUCUAGCAUUGAAUAUAAUGUGGAGUUAGGCGAAGCUCUGAGGCGGGCAGAUGAAGCAUAAAAGAGAAACAAGGGACUUGAAGAAAGAGUUGAAGAACAAAAUCGCACAAUACAGGGGCUGGUGACUGACACAAUGGAUAUAAGAAGAAUGUUGCUUGAAAUGCAGGGAAACCGUCAAAGCACUCCUGAGAACCAUCAAAGCACUCCUGAGAACCGUCAAAGCAACUCUUGAGAUGAUUGCUCAGGGACCAACAGUUGAGAUGUGCAUCUCUGUUUCUUUUUUUAGCUUUAUGUAAAAUCAAGUGGUAUCGUGUUUUUUUUCAGUUUAGAAUUAGCUUUAUAUUUCACUUUUGAAAUUUGUAGUGGUAUCGUUUCUUUUCUUCAGUUUAGAAUGUUAAGUUUCUUAAUUAGUGGUGUCAUUUAUGAACAAUGUAGAUCUUUUCUAUUAAUGAUUUGGUUCUUUUCG